UCGCUCGCGUCACCGAAGGUCUCGCAGUCGCAGCAGAGAUCGCGAUCGUGGCCAGCGCCGAACCCGAGACCGAGACCGGACACGGGACAGAGCUAAAGACAAAGAGAAGGACAAACCCAAAGACAAAGACAAACAAAGGGAAACAGGGAACAUCAAAGCUGGAUUAGAACAUCUGACUCCUGCAGAACAGGCCAAAGCUCGUCUCCAGCUGCUUCAGGCUGCAGUGGCCGCCCACUCAAUCUCAGGAGAACAUGUGGGGAGGAAGUGUUCUCCGGCAUGUGAAAACAAUACGUGGAUCCCUGCAUGAAGAUCUUGUGCGCUCUUCUAGGAGCCUGUCGCUGCUUUUAUUUCCUCAGAGGUGCUUGUGGGAAACAUGAAGUGGAGAAGUUAAAUGAGUGACAGCUUGUGUUUCAGAGGUUCAGCGCUGAUGUUCACGUGUGUUAGUCACAAACCUUCCCUGGACAAGAGAGGAUGUGGCUCAGUCAAACAACAGCCAAUGCUGUACUUGUGGUCCAGGAGCUUUAUGUGCUAUCACCUCACGCUUCACAUUUAUAAGAGUCUUCCCUUCACCCAAAACACAACCAUACUCUUGUAGCACAUGUCAAAGUCACUUAGCUUUCUUAAUGACACAGGCUGACAGAUUUCCAGACGCAGGCCACGGAAAAUAAACCACACGAGUGAAGUUAUAGUACUGUAAUUUAUUCUGAUUUAUAUACAAGCUUUAAUUUAGGGGUGAAAUGACAGCUGGGGGUGUUGUCCUCAAGCCUGCUUUGCUUUAAGCAGUUAUGAGCUCUUUUAGACUGUGCUGAUGUAAGCAAAUUAGUUUAAUUAUGUAUAAUAAAUUAAUAUACAGUAGUCAACA